ACCGCCGUCCUCCGCGUCAGGCCACGCCGCCGUCCGCCGCGCCCCAGCCACGCCCACGCCGGGCCUCAGCUCCUCCGCGGCCUGCCGCGCGGCGCGGCCGGCCUGGGCGGUCAGGGGUGGCCCAAGCGGGCCCGCGUCCAGGGCCGCCGUGAGGCUCAGCCGUGGGCGUCCGGCGUGGGCGGGAGCCGUGCGCAUCGCCCUGCGUGCGGCGCCCGGCGCCGCCGUAGUGAGCUGCCGCCGUGGGCCGAGCCGUGCGCCUGGCCGUCCUCCUCGCCCACGGCGGAGCUCACGGUGGAGCUCGCCGGAGUACCCCUCACCGAAGUACCCCUGCGAUGCCUUUUCCGCGCGGAAUCUGCUACCUCUGCCGCCGCAAAACAGAUCUUGGGGUGCACUGCCUGGGAUCGUGAUGUGGAUAGUGGAUACAACGCCGACUACCUGAGCUCCAAUCUGGUGGUGGGAUGGUUCCAAGUGAUUAAUGGCCUGCAUCAGCAAUGGUCAUUCACGUAGUCGCUGGCGCAGAACUGUGAUAAGGUGCCAUCGAGUACAGAUCAGAGGAUGAUGUGCUUCAUCAUCGAGUACCAAACACUAGGGAUCUUUUUAUUUAUGCUUGAUUCAUCGAGUACCAAACACUAGGGAUCAUCUCACUAGAUCAAUUCCUACUAUUAGAAAAGAAGAAGAAUGAUACUACUCCAAAAUAACUUCAGAGAUCAAUAAUUAUCAUCUAUCUCCGCAAACAACGCCAGCCGCCGGCAAUGUCUCUGGCGGCGGCAUCCACAUCCACCUUUGCGGCGCUGCGCCUCCAUCUUCAUCAAAUUGUGGAACAAGAAAAAGGUACAAAAGAAUGCCAUAUCAAAGCAACCGGUGAGCAAGCACAAUUGGUGACUUUAGCAUAUGCUUCAGAUAUGUAGUCCUCCAUGAAAGCUGAACUGAUGAUAAAGGAUGAUAUGCUGCUGGUGAAUGGGUGACCUAUAAAAAGUUGAAUUAAUCCGUUGAUACCUCUGGACUCUGGUGGUGAUACAUUACUGUGCUUGCAUCGCUUCAUUUAAGACAUAGCCACCUGGGGAUGCCUUCCUUGAUGAUAAGACUCGGAGAAGCUCUGGAUAGGGUCACUGUCGAGUGUUUUGGUAAGCAAGUGACAAAAUUUAAUCGGAAAAAUGUAUUGUAGUUCUUUUUUGGUGUCCGUCUUUGAUAGGUUUUUUGGUUGGUCAUUUGCUGGCUCAUUAUUGGAGUUCAGGUUUUGUUGAUAUCACUACGAUUAUGCUGUUCUUGGAAGUUUAUUUGGGCAUUACAAUAACAUGUCUUUUGGUUUGGAUUGAUCGG